UUAUAAAGCAAUGGGAAGAUAUGGGGAGGUACAGCUAGAACAGGUUCAGAAGAGGUUGAAGCUGCCUGAACAGUGAAGGCAAAGAUUUUGGAAGAACAGACUGAGGAAGGAGCUAAUGAUACUCCAAAAGAGGAUCAAGUCCUUCUUUGGAAAUGCUUAAGCCUGGGGAUCUAUCCUGAGACAAGAUAGUUUGGGACCAUCCUGUCAAGAGAGAGGUUGGGACCAAGAGGAAGCUCUUGAGUCAUCACUGUGGUGCUCUGCUAUCACCAGCUAUCUUGUGGCAUAAACCUUAUCCUGAAUUGGUCAAAUUUAAUAACAAACCAGGUGAUGGAUGACCCUUCUUGGCAGACCCAGCAAAACCCAUCCUGCCUUGAGGUCCUAUAGAGUAAUGGAUCAUAAUGAGUAGAUAAUUAAGUCUGAUAAAAAACUUAAGAAGGUGAAAACAUAUUUCCCUGUGGCUGAUCCUUGAUUUUAUGUGAUCUUGAAAAGCCUUUUUCCUUCAUCCCUUCUUACAGAAGAUCACAAAUAGCUUUGUCUCCCCUGCAGGGACCUGAACAUACUAAAAGGUCAGUGCUAGAUCAAAACAAAUAUGCUUUAAAAAAGAAGUAUUUCCCUCAGUUCCCCAUCAUGCCAUAUUAUAUCUGCAAUGGAACCAAUGCACAAUUUACCUGCAUGGUUUAUCAUUUAUCUCAGCAGACUGAAAGCAGUCAUUCUGCUCCCAUCGAGUCACUUGUUCUCGCUAGUUGAAUGCUCACUGAAGCAGUCACAGUGCCAAAGCUUGCAAGGAAAUAUUCAGACACUAAUUAACUUCUUCAUUCUGUGUGUGGGCAUGGGCUGUGUUUCCUCUGGAGCACAAUUGGUGUUCAAGAUACUUGUUUGGGGUUUCAGGGUGUUUGCACACAGUGUAUGGCUCCCUGUGUCUGUUGGUAUGUGUGUGGGACACUGCUGGCUCUAUUUGCCCGCAGCUGAUCCUGCAUGACAUUCCCCUUGGAACACACAAGUUUUCCAAUAUGGAAGUUUAAAAACCAGCCCCUUCUCCCAUUUUAUUUCAGUUGCUAGAUAAAAGGCAGCAAAUCUCAUGGCUACUCCAUCAAGCCAUCCCAAUAAAUGCUUGUGUGGCUGUAGGGUGGGAGGGGAGAUUGAUUUCAGCAUCUGUCCAACACACGUUCAGCCUGGGGCAUUACCCUCUCCAGAGGUUUUCCUUUUUGAUUUUCCUGAUAAACAGAUCUGCCUGGUGUUACUGCUGAUGCUGAUAGGAUCUUCUCAGGGAGGUAGUUUAGCAUGUGGAUAGAAUUGACAUUAGAGGUUACUAAAGUGGUUUGUGUUUCCGUGCUCAGCUUCUCCUUUACAAGUCACCUCUGCUGCGGCACAUAAGGAAUGGCUGGAAGAACAAUAUUGAGACUCCACACUGGAACUCCAUAUAAAAUGUGUCCAGGCUGUGUGUUUCUGCACGUGGCAUGAGAAGCCUUCAUAGGAAGAAGGUUCUUGAUGAAAAAUUCAGCCCUCAAAGCAUUAAGAAACACCGGCAUUAUGAAGAGCUUUUAAAAUGGCUUGGUUUGAAUGACUGUGGAAAUGGCUUUAAUAAUAAUCCAGUUUGUAAGGUAGCCUUUUGUUGUGGUUUAAACCUGGUUGAAACCACGACACCCUUUCUACUCUGAAGCUGCCUGGAUGGAGCAGGGGUGAGACAAGCCUUGUGCACACCCAUUUGUAGCUGUUUCUUCUCAUCAUUAAAGGCCAGGGCUCUUCCAAGGGAAGAAACAGGCCACUGCUUUGUAGCUAGAAAUCACAGAGAAGCCGCUCAUGCACAGUCCAGGUGGGAACUGCUGUCACCAGCCUUCAGGUGCGCUACUCUUAUUCCUUAGUAAAAAAGAUGUAGGUUCUUUAAGGAUAAGAAGACUGUGGGAGGCAGUUAAUGCUGCAGACAGAGCUGGAAGGGAUGAGUCCCACCCUGUGGGACUAAACCUUGUUUCCAGCCCCAGGAAAUGCUGAGGCACCAUUGAAGGACUUGUUGAUUCCAGCCUGCCUGACCCGGAGGCUGGAGGCCUAUAAGAAUAGAUGAAAUCAGCCCAGCUGGUGUUAUCUGCUUCGUGUAUUCCCCUCAGAGCAAGAGCAAGGUGCUGCAUGGACCCUCCCAUUCCGCUGCUGCAACAACACACAGGCUCCUACAGAGAUUUCUGCUCACCCAGAUGUUUCAAAGUACAGAUGUGUCCUUUUACAGGGGAAAACCCCCAUCCAACACUUUUAAAUCAGUUCUCCCUUGGAUUUGCUUAUCUCUGUGUGAUUUGGCAUAACACUUCCAAAAGAACCACCUAUGUAACAGAUUUGAGCAAUGAUAAGGGUAAAGCUGAGCAUUAACCUUUAAUGUUUUUUCCCCUUGUUAUGUUGCACUUAUUAGCGCAGUUAUACUCCCUGUGUGUUGAGAGAGCAGGAAAUUACACAGUAAAUGUCAGCAGAAGCUGACGUUUAGGCUUUUAUUAUCACUUGACAAAGCCAUGUAAAUCCCAUUAGCGCUAAGAGGAGUUGUAUGUGUCUGCUGGGGGUAGGGCGGGGGGAACGAGACCAUUUGCUCUCAAGUGCAUGUAACUAAUUAAAAAUUUAAGAGCAUAUAGUACAUAAUUGUAUGGGGCUGUAGGUUAAUGCUGCUGAAUGAACACUGCCAGAGCUGAAAUGCUUACACAGAACAAGGGAAGCUCUGGCUGGCUCUGCGCAGAGAAUAGUCUCUGUCUGUGAAUAGUCCUGGUGUUCACUCUCUCUGUUGCUGGGGAAAUGGCUAUAUCGCUGGCUGUGACCUUGGUCAGGAGCUGCAGGCCACAAAACAAUGCAGGGAAAGGCAAAAGGACAAGAUCUGGCACCUCCAGGCUGGUUUCACAUCCUCUGCUGUACUGAUUUCUGGCAGUGCUUUACUUGCCAAUGCAAGCAGCAGGCAAUGUCUUUAUCCCCACCUUGCUCACUGUAGG